UAACACAUGCAAGUCGAACGGAGCUUAAAGAGCUUGCUUUUUAAGCUUAGUGGCGAACGGGUGAGUAACGCGUGAGUAACCUGCCCUGGAGUGGGGGACAACAGUUGGAAACGACUGCUAAUACCGCAUAAGCCCACGGAUCCGCAUGGAUCUGCGGGAAAAGGAUUUAUUCGCUUCAGGAUGGACUCGCGUCCAAUUAGCUAGUUGGUGAGGUAACGGCCCACCAAGGCGACGAUUGGUAGCCGGACUGAGAGGUUGAACGGCCACAUUGGGACUGAGACACGGCCCAGACUCCUACGGGAGGCAGCAGUGGGGGAUAUUGCACAAUGGGGGAAACCCUGAUGCAGCGACGCCGCGUGGAGGAAGAAGGUUUUCGGAUUGUAAACUCCUGUCGUUAGGGACGAUAAUGACGGUACCUAACAAGAAAGCACCGGCUAACUACGUGCCAGCAGCCGCGGUAAAACGUAGGGUGCAAGCGUUGUCCGGAAUUACUGGGUGUAAAGGGAGCGCAGGCGGACCGGCAAGUUGGAAGUGAAAACUAUGGGCUCAACCCAUAAAUUGCUUUCAAAACUGCUGGCCUUGAGUAGUGCAGAGGUAGGUGGAAUUCCCGGUGUAGCGGUGGAAUGCGUAGAUAUCGGGAGGUACACCAGUGGCGAAGGCGACCUA
rnacentral:rRNA from 1 species